rnacentral:rRNA from 1 species
GAUGAACGCUGGCGGCGUGCCUAAUACAUGCAAGCCGAGCGAACGGACGAGAAGCUUGCUUCUCUGAUGUUAGCGGCGGACGGGUGAGUAACACGUGGAUAACCUACCUAUAAGACUGGGAUAACUUCGGGAAACCGGAGCUAAUACCGGAUAAUAUUUUGAACCGCAUGGUUCAAAAGUGAAAGACGGUCUUGCUGUCACUUAUAGAUGGAUCCGCGCUGCAUUAGCUAGUUGGUAAGGUAACGGCUUACCAAGGCAACGAUGCAUAGCCGACCUGAGAGGGUGAUCGGCCACACUGGAACUGAGACACGGUCCAGACUCCUACGGGAGGCAGCAGUAGGGAAUCUUCCGCAAUGGGCGAAAGCCUGACGGAGCAACGCCGCGUGAGUGAUGAAGGUCUUCGGAUCGUAAAACUCUGUUAUUAGGGAAGAACAUAUGUGUAAGUAACUGUGCACAUCUUGACGGUACCUAAUCAGAAAGCCACGGCUAACUACGUGCCAGCAGCCGCGGUAAUACGUANGUGGNCAGCGUUAUCCGGGAAUUAUUGGGCGUAAAGCGCGCGUAGGCGGUUUUUUAGUCUGAUGUGAAAGCCCACGGCUCAACCGUGGAGGGUCAUUGGAAACUGGAAAACUUGAGUGCAGAAGAGGAAAGUGGAAUUCCAUGUGUAGCGGUGAAAUGCGCAGAGAUAUGGAGGAACACCAGUGGCGAAGGCGACUUUCUGGUCUGUAACUGACGCUGAUGUGCGAAAGCGUGGGGAUCAAACAGGAUUAGAUACCCUGGUAGUCCACGCCGUAAACGAUGAGUGCUAAGUGUUAGGGGGUUUCCGCCCCUUAGUGCUGCAGCUAACGCAUUAAGCACUCCGCCUGGGGAGUACGACCGCAAGGUUGAAACUCAAAGGAAUUGACGGGGACCCGCACAAGCGGUGGAGCAUGUGGUUUAAUUCGAAGCAACGCGAAGAACCUUACCAAAUCUUGACAUCCUUUGACAACUCUAGAGAUAGAGCUUUCCCCUUCGGGGGACAAAGUGACAGGUGGUGCAUGGUUGUCGUCAGCUCGUGUCGUGAGAUGUUGGGUUAAGUCCCGCAACGAGCGCAACCCUUAAGCUUAGUUGCCAUCAUUAAGUUGGGCACUCUAAGUUGACUGCCGGUGACAAACCGGAGGAAGGUGGGGAUGACGUCAAAUCAUCAUGCCCCUUAUGAUUUGGGCUACACACGUGCUACAAUGGACAAUACAAAGGGCAGCGAAACCGCGAGGUCAAGCAAAUCCCAUAAAGUUGUUCUCAGUUCGGAUUGUAGUCUGCAACUCGACUACAUGAAGCUGGAAUCGCUAGUAAUCGUAGAUCAGCAUGCUACGGUGAAUACGUUCCCGGGUCU